rnacentral:rRNA from 1 species
GUCCACGCCCUAAACGAUGUCAACUAGGUGUUGGAAGGGUUAAACCUUUAGUGCCGUAGCUAACGCGUGAAGUUGACCGCCUGGGGAGUACGGCCGCAAGGCUAAAACUCAAAGGAAUUGACGGGACCCGCACAAGCGGUGGAUGAUGUGGAUUAAUUCGAUGCAACGCGAAGAACCUUACCUGGGCUUGACAUGCAUUUUGUCAGCAGUGAAAGCUGCUUAGCGUAGCAAUACGCGGGAUGCACAGGUGUUGCAUGGCUGUCGU